rnacentral:rRNA from 1 species
GACGAACGCUGGCGGCGUGCCUAAUACAUGCAAGUCGAGCGAAUCAAUAGGAGCUUGCUCCUGUUGGUUAGCGGCGGACGGGUGAGUAACACGUGGGCAACCUGCCUGUAAGACUGGGAUAACACCGGGAAACCGGUGCUAAUACCGGAUAAUCCUUUUCCUCUCAUGAUGAAAAGCUGAAAGUCGGUUUCGGCUGACACUUACAGAUGGGCCCGCGGCGCAUUAGCUAGUUGGUUGGGUAACGGCUCACCAAGGCGACGAGGCGUAGCCGACCUGAGAGGGUGAUCGGCAACACUGGGAAUGAGACACGGCCCAGACUCAUACGGGAGGCAGCAGUAGGGAAUCUUCCACAAUGGACGAAAGUCUGAUGGAGCAACGCCGCGUGAGCGAUGAAGGCCUUCGGGUCGUAAAGCUCUGUUGUAAGGGAAGAACAAGUAUCGGAGUAACUGCCGGUACCUUGACGGUACCUAACCAGAAAGCCACGGCUAACUACGUGCCAGCAGCCGCGGUAAUAC